GACCUUUAAAUUCUUACAUGAUUUGAGUUAAGACCGGUGUGAGCCAGGUUGGUUUCUAUCUUCAUAAUAGAGGUUUUUAUAGUACGAAAGGACCUAAAAACUUAAUUUUAUUAAUUAAUUAGCUUAUAAAAAGCAAGUAUUUUGAAAAUACUAGAAAGAUUUAAGAAUUUAUUAAUUUUAUGU
rnacentral:misc_RNA from 1 species